GGAAGGAUCAUUAUCGAACUGUCGACACGAGCUGUUGCUGGCCCUCGAAAGGGGGCACGUGCACGCUCUGUUUACACAUCCACUCACACCUGUGCACCCUCUGUAGUUCUAUGGCCUCGGGGACCCCGUCUCCUUGCUGUGGUCCUACGUCUUUACACACACACCGUAACAAAGUCUCAUGGAAUGUAUGCCGCGUUUAACGCAAUACAAUACAACUUUCAGCAACGGAUCUCUUGGCUCUCGCAUCGAUGAAGAACGCAGCGAAAUGCGAUAAGUAAUGUGAAUUGCAGAAUUCAGUGAAUCAUCGAAUCUUUGAACGCACCUUGCGCCCUUUGGCUAUUCUGAAGGGCAUGCCUGUUUGAGUAUCAUGAACACCUCAACUCUCAUGGUCCGCCAUGAUGAGCUUGGACUUUGGGGGUCUUGCUGGCCUAGUGUCGGCUCCCUCUCAAAUGGAUCAGCUUGCCAGUGUUUGGUGGGCGUCACAGGUGUGAUAACUAUCUACACUUUGUGGUUUUCCCGCCAUGUAACCUUCAGUGAUGGAGGUUCGCUGGAGCUCACAGACGUCUCUCCUCGGGGGGACAGCUUUCUGAACGUUUGAUC
rnacentral:misc_RNA from 1 species